AUUGAACGCUGGCGGCAUGCCUUACACAUGCAAGUCGAACGGCAGCAUGGGUGCUUGCACCUGGUGGCGAGUGGCGAACGGGUGAGUAAUACAUCGGAACGUACCUUAUCGUGGGGGAUAACGCAGCGAAAGUUGCGCUAAUACCGCAUACGCCCUGAGGGGGAAAGCGGGGGACCGUAAGGCCUCGCGCGAUUAGAGCGGCCGAUGUUCUGAUUAGCUUGUUGGUGAGGUAAAAGCUCACCAAGGCGAUGAUCAGUAGCUGGUCUGAGAGGACGAUGCGCCACACAGCGAAUGAGACACCGCCCAGACUCCUACGAGAGGCAGCAGUGGGGAAUUUUGGACAAUGGGGGCAACCCUGAUCCAGCAAUGCCGCGUGAGUGAAGAAGGCCUUCGGGUUGUAAAGCUCUUUUGUCAGGGAAGAAACAGCAGCUCUAACACAGUCUGCGAAUGACGGUACCUGAAGAAUAAGCACCGGCUAACUACGUGCCAGCCGCCGCCGUAA
rnacentral:rRNA from 1 species